GAUGAGUUGGACCGCAGAGUGAACAAAAAUUAGCCAUCAAGUGCUCAGCAUAUGUGGGAACACCUUCAAGACUGUUGGAAAAGCAUUCCAGGUGAAGCUGGUUGAAAGAAUGCCAAUAGUUUGCAAAGCUGUUAGCCAACCUUUGCCCUGAUAUUUGAAGAAUCUCAAAUAUAACAUAUUUUCAUUUGUUUAAUACUUUUUACAUGAUUCCAUAUGUGUUAUUUCAUAGUUCAGAUUUUUUUCACUGUUCUACAAUGUAGAAAAUAAUAAAAAAUGAAGAACAACCCUUUGAAUGUGGAGGCAUUCUAAAACUGUUGACCAGUAGUGUGUAUACACACACACACACACUCUGACAGUACACACAUGCUUAUGAGUCUGGUAUUGAGAGAAAUGUUUGCUAUUGAAUAUGAAGAGCGCUCUCCUUAAACUCCCAUCUUAAUAUGUGUGAAUGAUACCUAUGUGAUGAUGGGAAUGAUUGAAACCCCAACAACAGACUGGUGAGAUUUAAUAUGGUCUUGUUAAAAACCUACUGGUUUCUUAGAGUUGCCGUCAGUGUACAAACAGAGAUCAACUUUAGGUUUUAAACAGACAGACGGACGGGGUAUGUGGAUAUAACAUGGUCUGCUCUACAGUCAUGUAUCUCUUUGGAAGACCAGAGAGUGAGCUGCUCGACUUUGUGUCUGUGUUCUAACCACGGAAUAAAAGAUGUAGUACUACCAGUAACCUUCUUAACUGAUACCAUGACGACGUGCCAGGUGAACUGAACUAGAUUGUAAGAGAUGGCAGUAUGUUAGGGAGGAACUAGGUUUUAGCCUUGAGCUUUGCUUUGCUGUGACAACUUUUGUCCAUGUGGAGUUAUUUUUGAUGGUGUAAAGCAUCCGCUGGUAGUUUGAAGCAGAGGAAGAUUUGUUGUGAAUUUACUUACGUGUAACGGUUGUGUCUGUGAACUUAGCAUUUCUUUUUAAAUCCUUUUGUCCUUGACUUUCAAUCAUCAUGUGAGCAUUUACGUCACUCUUGGGUAUUCUGACAUUUACAUGUGGUCUGUUUUUAAAUGUGUCCCUCUAUUCCUAACUCCUGCCCCCUUAAAGUCCACAGAUGUCCAAAGAGUGGAUAUCUGUGAUCACUAUGGAGAUGAUUCCACCCUCAAGAUAAGAUGUGGAGCUCUAAUUUACCGUAUUGCGUUCAUCUAUCCAGACCUGUGCAGAUCUGUGAACUCUUUAAUGGGUACUAGGCCCUAAGGGAAGGGGAGGAGGCUACUGACUAAAAGGUCAGUUAUGUGAACUCUCUAACGGGUACUAGGCCCUAAGGGAAGGGGAGGAGGCUACUGACUAAAAGGUCAGUUAUGUAAACUCUCUAACGGGUACUAGGCCCUAAGGGAAGGGGAGGAGGCUACUGACUAAAAGGUCAGUUAUGUGAACUCUCUAACGGGUACUAGGCCCUAAGGGAAGGGGAGGAUGCUACUGACUAAAAGGUCAGUUAUGUGAACUCUAACGGGUACUAGGCCCUAAGGGAAGGGGAGGAGGCUACUGACUAAAAGGUCAGUUAUGUGAACACAUUAGACCUUUUGUCUGAUCCACAGAUCAUUAUCAUAAUAAGGAUUAAUAUCAGUGGUGAAAGACCAUGUGUAUUAGUGCUUCCAAGUCAACAAAAAAAACGAGGUUAAAUUAUGACGUCUGUGAUCUUCAGGUCGGAAAGUCUGAGCUCUAGAAAGAUUGCCGGAGUUUCUGACUUGGAAUUCUCAGUUAAAUGAUCUUUUCAAAGCGAUUUUUCCCAGAUGGAACUCGUUUUUUUUCUUCUUCAGGAUUUCCAGUUGUCUUAAACGCACUGAUGUCAGAGGCACUGAAGUCGGAAGUCUGAGAUUUCCGAGUUCCCCAGGUUUUUUAUUUAUUUUUUACACAGCACAUCACAGUGUUGUAUUCUGGGAAAUGUGUUUUUGCAAUUGUGACUAUUUGCUCUAUCGGUAUACAGUCAAAUGGGUUGCUGAUAUAGAGUUUUGGUCUUUUUGUUCUUGAGUGUUCCUAAGGGUUCUAGGGUUACUCCUGGGCUAAAAAACAUGUUCAAUGUAUUGUCUCGUUUAAAAAUGCUCAGGCUGAUUAUUGCAAAUAAGGAUGAAUCAACCUGCCUGGUAAACGAUGGUUUAGUUCAGGGAGUAUAGGUUUUAUUUAGGGCUUGGAAACUAAUUGGUUGACUUGUGGGUUUGUACCUUCAGUAAGCCUGUGGUAGUUGGCAGUGGGAGAAGAUGACUUGGGGAUAGAUGAAGGAAUAGGGAGAGGUUUAGCCUCUUAUUACACUGCUGAUACCCUUUUCUACCAGUGAUCCCUUUAAUAAAAGUGUUUCUGUUAUUUA